GCGCGAUGGCUCAGUGGUAGAGCAGUUGUCUCGUAUCCAGAACAUCCCGGGUUCGAAACCAGGUUGACGCG
rnacentral:tRNA from 1 species